rnacentral:rRNA from 1 species
UUCGCAAUGCCCGAAAGGGUGACGAAGCCACUCCACGUGGGUGAGGAAGGCCUUCGGGUUGUAAAGCCCUGUCAGGAGUUAAGAAAUGUAAGUGUGCUAAUAUCGCAUUUACUUGACGAAGGCUCCAAAGGAAGUCACGGCUAACUCUGUGCCAGCAGCCGCGGUAAUACAGAGGUGGCAAGCGUUGUUCGGAAUUAUUGGGCGUAAAGAGCACGUAGGUGGGUUUGUAAGUCAGAUGUGAAAGCCUUCUGUUCAACGGGAGAAUUGCAUCUGAAACUGUAAGUCUUGAGUAUAGGAGGGGAGAAUGGAACUUCUGGUGGAGCGGUGAAAUGCGUAGAUAUCAGAAGGAACGCCGGCGGCGAAAGCGAUUCUCUGGCCUAUUACUGACACUCAGUGUGCGAAAGCUAGGGGAGCGAACGGGAUUAGAUACCCCGGUAGCCCUAGCCGUAAACGAUGGGCACUAAGUAGAGGGGUUUU